CAAGUAAGAAAAAUCAAAGUUCAAGUGUGAACAUCAAGAGAUGGUGGUAGUGUGAAGGCGGCUGGCGGCUGGCGGCUGGUGGCUGGUAGCUGGUUGGUGGUUUGAGGUUGGUGGCUUGAGGUUGGUGGCUGCCUUCCUUGACCUUCUGGAUUGAUGUUCUUGAGGAGCUAAAUUGCUGAAAUUAAAACUUGGAUGUCGGUUUUAAUGCUUCAGGAUGUAAUUUGGAUUCGUUUCUUCACGAAACCUGUUUGCUGGCAGAAUUCAGCUGUCAUCUUUGAAAAAUCAUAUCACCCUCAUAUGACAUCGUUUUUGGUCUUUGUCAUUUUAUUUUUCUUCACUUAGAUUUCCAGAAAGGUAUGGAUGUUAUCUUUCUA
rnacentral:lncRNA from 1 species